AUGAACGCUAGCGGCAGGCUUAACACAUGCAAGUCGAGGGGCAGCAUAAUGGAUAGCAAUAUCUAUGGUGGCGACCGGCGCACGGGUGCGUAACGCGUAUGCAACCUACCUUUAACAGGGGGAUAACACUGAGAAAUUGGUACUAAUACCCCAUAAUAUCAUAGAAGGCAUCUUUUAUGGUUGAAAAUUCCGAUGGUUAGAGAUGGGCAUGCGUUGUAUUAGCUAGUUGGUGGGGUAACGGCUCACCAAGGCGACGAUACAUAGGGGGACUGAGAGGUUAACCCCCCACACUGGUACUGAGACACGGACCAGACUCCUACGGGAGGCAGCAGUGAGGAAUAUUGGUCAAUGGACGCAAGUCUGAACCAGCCAUGCCGCGUGCAGGAUGACGGCUCUAUGAGUUGUAAACUGCUUUUGUACGAGGGUAAAUGCAGAUACGUGUAUCUGUCUGAAAGUAUCGUACGAAUAAGGAUCGGCUAACUCCGUGCCAGCAGCCGCGGUAAUACGGAGGAUUCAAGCGUUAUCCGGAUUUAUUGGGUUUAAAGGGUGCGUAGGCGGUUUGAUAAGUUAGAGGUGAAAUUUCGGGGCUCAACCCUGAACGUGCCUCUAAUACUGUUGAGCUAGAGAGUAGUUGCGGUAGGCGGAAUGUAUGGUGUAGCGGUGAAAUGCUUAGAGAUCAUACAGAACACCGAUUGCGAAGGCAGCUUACCAAACUAUAUCUGACGUUGAGGCACGAAAGCGUGGGGAGCAAACAGGAUUAGAUACCCUGGUAGUCCACGCAGUAAACGAUGAUAACUCGUUGUCGGCGAUACACAGUCGGUGACUAAGCGAAAGCGAUAAGUUAUCCACCUGGGGAGUACGUUCGCAAGAAUGAAACUCAAAGGAAUUGACGGGGGCCCGCACAAGCGGUGGAGCAUGUGGUUUAAUUCGAAGCAACGCGAAGAACCUUACCAGGUCUUGACAUCGAUCUAAAGGCUCCAGAGAUGGAGAGAUAGCUAUAGAGAAGACAGGUGGUGCAUGGUUGUCGUCAGCUCGUGUCGUGAGAUGUUGGGUUAAGUCCCGCAACGAGCGCAACCCUUAUUCUUAGUAGCCAGCAGGUAAGGCUGGGCACUCUAAGGAGACUGCCGGGGAUAACCCGGAGGAAGGUGGGGAUGACGUCAAAUCAGCACGGCCCUUACGUCCGGGGCUACACACGUGUUACAAUGGUAGGUACAGAGGGCAGCUACCCAGCGAUGGGAUGCGAAUCUCGAAAGCCUAUCUCAGUUCGGAUUGGAGGCUGAAACCCGCCUCCAUGAAGUUGGAUUCGCUAGUAAUCGCGCAUCAGCCAUGGCGCGGUGAAUACGUUCCCGGGCCUUGUACACACCGCCCGUCAAGCCAUGGGAGCCGGGGGUGCCUGAAGUUCGUGACCGCAAGGAGCGACCUAGGGCAAAACUGGUGACUGGGGCU
rnacentral:rRNA from 1 species